CCCAAGUCAAAACCCUAACAGAGAAACGUAAUUCUCAUUUUCGUUCUUCCGUUAAAUCAAAACCUCUUAAAAUUAAUGAGAAGUAAGUUACUGAUGGGUGAUGACUCCAAGAUUUAGUGCUGGUACUGGUUUUGUAUGGGAUUCCGGUCAGGGGCGGAGCUACUUGAGGACUAGGGACAAGGGAGGACCUCCCUAGAAUCUCAAAAUUGCCUAUUUAGCCAUUGUGUUCUAAGAUUUUUAUGUAUUUGUCCCCCCUUAAAUGUUCUAAAAUUGCAAUAAUAGGUCUAAACACUAAUAAAUUUUACAAUUCUUGUUAUAAUCUGUUUUAAAAUGUACUAGUAAGAGCUAGCACUAUGGAGGGGUUCAUCCCCUCACUAUCCCUUGAACGGUAAAAAACUCUUAUAACCAUCAAAUGUUUCCGGUAACUGAAUAGGAGUUCAUAAAAUUAAAGCAUUUUACAAUUCAGGUGCCAUCUUUUAUAGAGAGCUGCUUCUGAAGGACGAAAUUCCUGAUAGAUGAUGAAUCAUCAGGAAUUUCGUCCCUGCUGGUGUGAAAGAGUUUGAAGAAAAUAGAGGCGCAAAGUUCCUAAAUAGGGUAUUUAAUUUGGAAGAAAUAAACGAUGUGAAGGAGGUAUUCCACUGGUUUCGUAGGAGAUUGUGAAGACAAUUUUGACGAUACAUAUGUUCAAACUAUGAGAAUUGGGGCGCACGAAUGAACAAUUAGUCCCCUCAUGGCUGCAGGGCAACCUGUUGAAACACUAGUCAGCAGACUCAGUACUAUAUGGUGCAUCAGUAAAGCUUCACCGUUUCAUAUCAAGCAUAGAGUGCAUGAUUUUAAAAGAAAACCAGUAAGGCCAAGGACCAGAUUUCAGAAGGUUACAUAGUAAGUAGCUGGUAUAAUAAUUUGAAAAUGUCAUGAGUUUUGGCGCAUGCUUUAUAUGUUAAUACUUACCAAUACUUGUUCUAUUAGUUGAGGCACAAAUGAGGGAACAAGCUGUGUUAGAUGACAAUGGUGGGGAUAGGGAGGUGAUUGGUUUGUAUUGCUCAAUUUCUUCUCUAAAUUGAAGAAAAUCGACUUUCAGUUCACUAAAAAGGUAGAGAGUGCUUCUGUAUGGCGAAAUUCUAGAUCGAAAGAAAGUUAGCUGAGUAUUGAUUGACUGGAGGAUAGAGGCACAAAGUUCCUAAAUUGGGUAGUUAAUUUGGAAGAAAUUCGAUAUGUCCAAACUAUGUGAAGGGAUGUAUUCCAGUGGUUCAAAAUAUCAGAAUUGGGGUGCAUGAAUCCUGUUCUGGCUGCAGUGCAACCUGUUGAAAUACUAAUCAGCACUACAUGGUGCAUCAGUAAAGCUUCACGCAUGCUUUCGUUUAAUAUUAGGCAUAGACAAACAAUUGUAAUUGGUGUGCAUGAUUUUUAGAAGAAAACCAGCAAGGCCAAGGACCAGAUUUCAGAAGGUUACAUGGCACAAAUGAGGGGGCAACCGGAGUUAGAUGAGAAUGGUGCUACAAAGGGGAACCAGUUCACAAUGUCAGCGGAGAAGUCCUAUUGCACGUGCAAUGAAGCACCAACACUGAAGGCUGGGGGUAGAGGUAGUUAGAUGGAAGUUGUUGGAAUAUCUUUAGAAAUAAAGCAGGGAUAGCAUCUGGCAGUGUCGCACACAACCUAAAUCAGUUUUUUUAUAAUUCAGACUGGACUCUAAAUCAGUGGUGAGGGCAGGAACUAAUGGAGAACAACAUAUUGCUUGGCAAUUACAUCACCAGAUUUCAGAGGCUAAACAAGUUGUACAGUUUUUUCAGUUUUGGGAUUAUCUUUGUUUAAGUUUGAAACAAUGUUGCUGUAUUCCGGCUAACUUGCGAGGAAAAAUAAGCCAACAAAUGAGUGGCUCUGGACCAUUAAAUGCAUUAGGCAUCAGUUAGUUGUUGCGUUCUUUUUGGACUAAAAACAUUAUCAAUCAUCGUAUUAUUCUGAUGGAUGUUUUUCUUA